rnacentral:ncRNA from 1 species
GUGGAGGUAGAAGGCUCACGGGUGGUGAACUUCUUUUCCCGGAGAAGAAGUAGUGACAUUAUCUAGGGAAUAAGCAUCGGCUAUCUAGGGAAUAAGCAUCGGCUAACUCAGUGCCAGCAGCCGCGGUAAUAUAAAGGAUAC